GAUGAACGCUGGCGGCGUGCCUAAUACAUGCAAGUCGAGCGAACGGACGAGAAGCUUGCUUCUCUGAUGUUAGCGGCGGACGGGUGAGUAACACGUGGAUAACCUACCUAUAAGACUGGGAUAACUUCGGGAAACCGGAGCUAAUACCGGAUAAUAUUUUGAACCGCAUGGUUCAAAAGUGAAAGACGGUCUUGCUGUCACUUAUAGAUGGAUCCGCGCUGCAUUAGCUAGUUGGUAAGGUAACGGCUUACCAAGGCAACGAUGCAUAGCCGACCUGAGAGGGGGGUGGGCCCACUGGGAACUGAGACACGGUCCCGACUCCUACGGGAGGGCGCAGUAGGGAAUCUUCCGCAAUGGGGGAAAGCCUGACGGAGCAACGCCGCGUGAGUGAUGAAGGUCUUCGGAUCGUAAAACCCUGUUAUUAGGGAAGAACAUAUGUGUAAGUAACUGUGCACAUCUUGACGGUACCUAAUCAGAAAGCCACGGCUAACUACGUG
rnacentral:rRNA from 1 species